CUAUUGUUAGUUGCCAUCAUUAAGUUGGGCACUCUAACGAGACUGCCGGUGAUAAACCGGAGGAAGGUGGGGAUGACGUCAAAUCAUCAUGCCCCUUAUGACCUGGGCUACACACGUGCUACAAUGGAUGGUACAACGAGUCGCGAGACAGUGAUGUUUAGCUAAUCUCUUAAAACCAUUCUCAGUUCGGAUUGUAGGCUGCAACUCGCCUACAUGAAGUCGGAAUCGCUAGUAAUCGCGGAUCAGCACGCCGCGGUGAAUACGUUCCCGGGCCUU
rnacentral:rRNA from 1 species